UUUAAUUUCUGAAGAAAUUUCGUUUUUAAUUUGAAUAUAAUAAUGGUUUCGCUUAACCUGAAAGAAGGUUUCAUUUAAUUUGAAAAAGGUUUCACUUAAUUUGAAAAUGGUUUCAUAUAAACUGAAAAUGCUUCAUUUUAACU